rnacentral:rRNA from 1 species
CCUACGGGAGGCAGCAGUGAGGAAUAUUGGUCAAUGGGCGCGAGCCUGAACCAGCCAAGUAGCGUGAAGGAUGACUGCCCUACGGGUUGUAAACUUCUUUUAUAAAGGAAUAAAGUGAGGCACGUGUGCCUUUUUGUAUGUAUUUUAUGAAUAAGGAUCGGCUAACUCCGUGCCAGCAGCCGCGGUAAUACGGAGGAUCCGAGCGUUAUCCGGAUUUAUUGGGUUUAAAGGGUGCGUAGGCGGCCUUUUAAGUCAGCGGUGAAAGUCUGUGGCUCAACCAUAGAAUUGCCGUUGAAACUGGGGGGCUUGAGUAUGUUUGAGGCAGGCGGAAUGCGUGGUGUAGCGGUGAAAUGCUUAGAUAUCACACAGAACCCCGAUUGCGAAGGCAGCCUGCCAAGCCAUGACUGACACUGAUGCACGAAAGCGUGGGGAUCAAACAGGAUUAGAUACCCCAGUAGUC